CUUAUGUGAUGUGCAAAUACAUAAUUAGUAAGGAAAAUAGGGUUGUAAGCAACGACAAAUGCUAGAAUAAUCUUAUUAGUAUUAGCAGCACAUAUAACUACACUGCUUAAAAUGAACAAGACUGAAUGAGGUUUACCAAUAGCAAGUAAACUGUAUAAAUAUGAUAAUGAAAGUAAUAGGAAUAACUGAGCUGGCCUAACGUGGUUAAAUACGAUCGAAACUUUUAGUGUAACAGUUAAAACAUGUGGCCAAGUUCAGCCGAAAUGCAAACCGUGUCUAAAAUACGGAUGAGGUUGUGCUGUAUAAGGAAACCUAAGUGGUUGAACAAGGACCAGAUGCCUGGGAAGGUGUUAAAAGGAUAUGCCUUGUAGGCUGAAUAUGGUCUUAGCGGACUACAUAGCACAACAUGCAUUAAUGUGAGGUUAGCAACGGUCAAAUUGAAUACCAGUACAAUGUAUGUGUACAUUUCUUUGCACAUUAGUUAAAUGCACUUUACUGAAUAUAUUAUCAUCAUUGGCAAAAAUUAAUUGUUCUGUAUUCUGUAAAAAUCUUCUAUUCCAUGUCUAAAUAUGUCUCCAUGGAAACACACAAUGACAUGGACACAUGGAAGGAAUGCAUGGCUCCUUGGAACCAGAAGUGAC